CUUCCCUACAUAAGCAGCUGCCAGACCUUCCUUCAACGCCGCAGUGUUGACCUAGUUUGGAAACCUGUCUCAAGUCUGAACCUCUGGAUGAGCUUAACCUGCCUGCCAGCCCUGGUGAGCCGAACCUGAAGAUUCCAAUCUGGAUUUCUCCUGCUGCUCUCAGAAAAGAGCUGGAAACUCUGAUCAAGGUCUGCCAUUCAAAGUCAGAAGCUAGACGCUGCUGCUGCUUGUGCACUCUGCUGAACCAACAGUCUCUGGACCCAACGGUUCCCUCUCUCACAAGUAAAGCCUGGACUUCUUCAAGACAUCAGUGAACCCAACCCGGACCAGUACCUGAACCAGUUCAUGUCUUUGUGUGAAAACCUUUUUCAAUAAACUCUGUUUCUGAAUAAACUUUUAUUCAGCCUCCGUUUGUGUUCUGCAUGUGGGUUUAGCCUUAAACCAAUCAUGACACUGAUGUUCACAGUUGGAAUUGUGUUCUUAAGCUUGCAAGUUUUUCCUGUUUGGUUCUAUUGUUACAUAGGUAAUUUAAUGCAGUUUUAUUAAAUUUAAGAAUGGCAAAUGUAUAAGCAAACUAAUCGGUUUGUUGUUGGUGGUUUUGAAGUAAUAACUUCACUUUGAACGACCUUUCUGUCCAUCAUUUCAGUAUACUGUGGAUAAUUAGACGUUUUCAUAUUUUGCACCCAAACACAUUUAUCUUUGUAACACAGAAUCAUUCUUCUUGCUGAAUGUCAUCAAAUCUUUACAUACUCAUGUUGUUUAUCAUUGCUAGUUGUUUGAAUAAAUAAAC